rnacentral:rRNA from 1 species
AUUGAACGCUGGCGGCAGGCCUAACACAUGCACGUCGAGCGGAGCGGCAGACGGGUGAGUAAUGCCUAGGACUCUGCAUGGUAGUGGGGGAUAACGUCCGGAAACGGGCGCUAAUCCCGCAUACUCUCAGAUGAGCCUAGGUCGGAUUAGCAAGUUGGUGGGGUAAAGGCCUACACAGGCGACGAUCCGUAACUGGUCUGAGAGGAUGAUCAGAAACACUGGAACUGAGACACGGUCCAGACUCCUACGGGAGGCAGCAGUGGGGAAUAUUGCACAAUGGGCGCAAGCCUGAUGCAGCCAUGCCGCGUGUAUGAAGAAGGCCUUCGGGUUGUAAAGUACUUUCAGCGGGGAGGCGUUACCCGCAGAAGAAGCACCGGCUAACUCCGGGCCAGCAGCCGCGGUAAUAC